ACAUGAUUUUGCACAUGCGUAAGUAAAAUAAGAUAGUAACAAACUGUAAACAAAAGGCCUUUACUGACACUGAUAAAGACGUCUACCAAUAAACAAUGGACAUUAGCAUUCAUGGUUAAACAGUAUAGGGGAUCCCUAAAGCCUAACUUGAUUCUAUCUAUUUCUGUGCUUCCAUUUAAUAUAUGGGCCCCUUAUAACAUUCCUAAAUCCAUUGUAACACAAAGUGGAGAAGGAAUAAAGAACUCACCAGCGAUAGGUUUAGGUCCUGCAUCUCUUGGGCGAAGGUGAAAGUUCCCUCAUGGGACAGAGGAGGACAGAGGUCACGCGCUCGCACCCUACAGCUCCUGAGCGAACCACCUCAAGGUCCAUGGAACUUGGUUUUCCCUCAGGAAUAGGCCGAACACUAACCACAGCACUGGGCAACAAAGGCAAACUUUAACUCAGAAAGUCUGAAGGAAUCUGACAGACCCUAAGGACAGAACGUCAGCAAAGUCUUCCAAAUGUCUGCAGAAGAAACCUUGUGAGGUUAUGUCCAGAACCCUGCAAAUUAUGGAGGCAAAUGGCCUGCCCCCCCAACACUCGUGACUGUUUUUAGUCUCUUCUGCGCAAGUGCGUUCCCAGUCCCGCCUUCUCCGCCUCUGACACCUGGCCUCAUGGGAAGAGCAUCCCGGAACUUUCCAGACCACAUAGGCAGCCAUUUUGAGUGUGAGAGCGGCACAGGACUUGUCCUCCACAGGGCUCCUAACCUGCGCUGCAGCAAGGCGGUCUCCUGCAGGAAGACGCCAGUAAACCCCAACCCUGUCACCUGGAACCAGGGAUGAGCGGGUCAUGUUUCAGCGGUACGGUGCCACAGAUGACGUGCUCAGCCAGCUGCCAGGGACACAUACCAGCACACGUUCCUGUGAGGUCUGGGUAACCGCCCGCAUUGAAAGCAAAGAAAUCAGUCGUGAGUUGGUGUGAUUGAUCAGAAUGUGGUGUUACACACUUCAGUGUCAUAUAUGGAUGGGAGUGUGGAGUUCAGCCAGGAGGAGUGGCAGGACACGGGUCCUCUCUGAGGAUCCUCAGAAGAUCACCAGGAUGUGGUGCUGGAGAACUACAUUACUUCCUCAACAUUUCAGAGGGCAAGUUAACCUCAGUGACAGAGUAUGCGGUAUUUCCUGAUGGACUCUUACAUUGUAGAAGGAAGUUUCUGGUGAAAAUGUGGGACAGGCAUUGGAAUCCAGUCACUAAAGCUUAUGU
rnacentral:lncRNA from 1 species